rnacentral:rRNA from 1 species
CUUCCGCGGUAUGAUUGUUGUUGCAAGUCGCCCGUGUAACCCGCUUCGGUGGGGGAUUAGUGGCGAACGGGUGAGUAACACGUGGGCAAUCUGCCCUGCACUCUGGGACAAGCCCUGGAAACGGGGUCUAAUACCGGAUGAUACCUGCCUCGGCAUCGAGGCGGGUUGAAAGCUCCGGCGGUGCAGGAUGAGCCCGCGGCCUAUCAGCUUGUUGGUGGGGUGAUGGCCUACCAAGGCGACGACGGGUAGCCGGCCUGAGAGGGCGACCGGCCACACUGGGACUGAGACACGGCCCAGACUCCUACGGGAGGCAGCAGUGGGGAAUAUUGCACAAUGGGCGAAAGCCUGAUGCAGCGACGCCGCGUGAGGGAUGACGGCCUUCGGGUUGUAAACCUCUUUCAGCAGGGAAGAAGCGAAAGUGACGGUACCUGCAGAAGAAGCGCCG